rnacentral:misc_RNA from 1 species
AUGAASGUAAUGCUCAUAACUUUCCUCUAGACCUAGCUGCUAUCGAAGCUCCAACAAAUGUAUAAGACUUGGUCUUAGUGUAGAGGAGCUUUUGAAAAUAGGAUAGAUAAAUAUAAGGAGCAAUAAACUCUUUCUUGUUCUAUCAAGAGGGUUUGUUGCUCCUUUGUUUUUUUUUAAGUAGUGUUUUUUAGUAGUAUUCCCUUUAUCUAGACUUUAAUGUUUCCAGUACAUAAAAAAGAAGAUAAAUAGAAUGAUUGAAAUUCAAUCUUUUGUCUUACAAUUUAUAAAAAAUCAAAAUUGUAAACUUGAAUUCGUAAAUAAAAAAAAGAAUAUCGAUUUUAUUUUCUAAAAAUAUUAGAAAGUCGAUUUAAAAGUCAAAGAAAUAGAGUUUCUAGUUAUAGUAGAGGGGCGGAUGUAGCCAAGUGGAUCAAGGCAGU